rnacentral:misc_RNA from 1 species
AGUCUGAUGGCUCUUUUGUGGUCUACAAGAAACCACAUAUAGCAAGGUUAAAAGAAUAUUUGUUUGAAAAAAGGACCAUAACUAGAUAAUUACAGGGAUACGGAAAAAAUUGAAUAAAAAAAUAUACUUUCAGAAACCAUACAGAUGUAAAUAGCGCUCUUUUUUUCACCUUAAGCAAAUAAUAUAUUUUACAAAAGCUAUACAGGGAGAUGCAUUGUCCGUUCCAUUUCAAAUCUCCAACAAAUAUUGGAAUGGAUCUAAAGUGUAGGGUAAAGCAUAAUAUGAUCACCCGUUCAUGUUGCCGGUAGCCUUAAGUAAAUAAAUCCCACAACACAGCUUUUGAUUACACCAUUGUAUAGUCUCUGAUUAUUUAGGGCUUGUUUAUUAUCUAUAUUUUUUUUGGUUGUUGUUGUCCAAUGGUAAAAAGUAUAUUUAUGGGGAAAAAAUUGAAAAAACUAGUUUGUGUGUGUGUGUGUGUGCAAGUGUGUGUGUGGUUUUCACUUGCUGUAACAUUUUUUCCUGUAAGACAUUAAGCAACAAAAACAAACAUAUUUUAUAAUAUAUAUUUUAAACAACAAUAAAAACCAAAAAUAGUAUGAAUGCUAAAUAGGCCAUUAUUGAUCCAGUAGCCAAGAGAUAAAUUUCCAUAUGAACUUUUGAGGUUUUUUCACCUUUUCUCCUGACUUACAAAAAUUUGAUCACCUAAAUAGCCACCAAAAUUUCAUCAUCAUAAACACCCAUAUCCUAUAGUGUAAUAAUAACUAAUAAGCCUCUAUAGGUACCAUUUGAUUACCAAGAAUGAAAGAGUGGCAAUAUGAAUGUCCCAUUCCCAGUUUCAAAUAUCUAAAAAUAAAGUAAUAAAGGCCUAUUUAUCUCACUUCAUUUAUUCCUAGAUUCCAAUUCUUGGUCUUUCAUUCACAGUGACCAAACAGCAGUGUCUUAAACUUCAAGUUUUGAGACAAACUCAGUUUUAACAGACUUUCACUUCAGCUAGAAAAUCCUGCAAUUGAACAUAAAGUAUCAGUGAAGUGAUUCUUAACCCUGGGGCAAGGCAACUUCAUCAAGGCACAGAUGAGGCUCAGAAGGCUAAAGGCAUGCUUCUAAAAGGAUAUGGGAGAAUAAAGGAAGAGAAGUAUGAUCGCAGGAACUAGUUCCAUUCCAGUGAAUGCUACUCUCAUCUUAACUUCUCUCUACUUCCUUCUCCAUAAGACAUUCUUGACCUCUCUCUAAUCCCUCUGCACUCCCAAUCCCAAGAAAUAAAAUUUGGACAGUUAUAUUUCCUGGGAAAAAUACCUGUUUUCUCCUUGUACUUUCC